rnacentral:rRNA from 1 species
CCUACGGGUGGCAGCAGUGGGGAAUAUUGCACAAUGGGGGAAACCCUGAUGUAGCGACGCCGCGUGAGUGAAGAAGUAUUUCGGUAUGUAAAGCUCUAUCAGCAGGGAAGAAAAAGACGGUACGUGAUUAAGAAGCCCCGGCUAAAUACGUGCCAGCAGCCGCGGGAAAACGUAGGGGGAAAGCGUUAUCCGGAUUUACUGGGUGAAAAGGGAGCGUAGACGGUGAUGCAAGUCAGAAGUGAAAGCCCGGGGCUCAACCCCGGGAAUGCUUUUGAAACUGGGUGACUGGAGUGCAGGAGAGGUGAGCGGAAUUCCUGGUGUAGCGGUGAAAUGCGUAGAUAUCAGGAGGAACACCAGUGGCGAAGGCGGCUUACUGGACUGUAACUGACGUUGAGGCUCGAAAGCGUGGGGAGCAAACAGGAUUAGAUACCCUGGUAGUC